rnacentral:lncRNA from 1 species
CAACGUUCCAUUGAGGCGAGCGCGUGCUCGGGCGAGCACAUGGGCAGCGGGGCCCGCUCCGCUCAGCGCCCGCCGCUCCGCCCGGCCCGGCCCGGCCCGGCCCCGACCCCUGCCCGCAGCGGGGCCACGGUGAGUACCGGGGCCGCAGCGAGGCGGCGGGGCGCGGGGACAGGGGGUCCCAAGCCCAUGUGUCCCACUUGUCUGGAAGAACAUUUGGAGUCUGGCAGCCUGGUCCUUUUCAUAGCUCCAGAGGAUUUUUAGGAGCAUAGGGAGCAUGGGAUGCAUGGACCUGAGGACCCACAAAACCUUCUGGAGAAUGUUCGCUGUGGAUAAAAGCAUCUGGAAGUUUCUACCAUCUUUUUACCCUGAUUUUUCCUGGGUCACCCUGUGUCAUUUGUGGCCCUGAGGAUUAUAGCACACAGUCACUUACUGGAAUACCUCCCCAUGCAUCUUCUUGAAAUGGAGCCACUGCUUUACCCAGCUGGCAGAUAUUUUCUCCUCUCCCAGAGCUUUUCCAGUGCAGCAGCAGCAGUCCUGUCCAGCAGGUCUCGAUUGACUGCAGAAAGGAGAAGGGAGGAGCAUGUCAAAGGGAGGUCAGAUCCUGCCAGGGUUUCCUGGCAAAUGAGAUUUUCUAAGUAUGGAAGCUCUCCUGAGGAGCUGCAUUAUGUGCUGCAGCCCCUGGGAUGGGAUGCAAUGCAAGGAGUGAAGAAGAGCUGCAAUGUACCACUGUUUUUGUGAGGAGAGGGGCUUUCUGGCAUGUCAUAUGGUGCCAAAAGACAUUUUACUCUUGGCAGCAAAAAUCCUUAUCCUUCUUGGUUUUUUUUUUUCCGGGACAGAUGCUAUUUCCUGUUAGAGAUGCUUUGUAUGCAAAUCAAGGUGGUACAACAAGAAAAAAGUCCUGAAAGCAAUCACACCGAUAAACUCAGCCCACUGGGGAAUUCCUGCUUAUCAUUUAUCUUUUGUUUUUUCAGUUCUGUACAAGAUACUUCUUUGCCUGUGCUUUCUUACAGUCUUUAAUGUUUGUCCUGCCCUACCUCUUGCUUGUGAGCUACAGUGCUUGCAUUUUGCAAGGCUCCAUGUCAGUCUGCACAAACAAAAGGCAGUAAGUGCUGGAAAUUGGGGUUAACAGUCCCUGUGUUUCAGCUUGAUCUUGCAUUGAUCUGGUGCUUUCUUAAGUUCAAACCAGAUGUGAGCCUCACACUACAGAUUGCCACAUGGCUAUAGUGAUGAUCUACUGGAAAGGUGAUCCCAGAAACCUCAGGAAUGAAAAAAAAAGAGAUAAAAAGCAAAAAGAAGCCAGCAAAAAGUUUACCUAGUAACUUAAACAGGAGUAGGAUUUGACUUGAGGCACCUCAAGAGAUGGUGUGGGCAGCACUGCACUAAUACAGUAACAUGAGUAUGCAGUAAUAUGAGUUGAUCACCUCAGUGCUCCAGCAGAGCAAACUCACAUAGAAUCACAGACUGGUUUGGGUGGGAAGGGACUGUAAAGAUCAUCUAGUUGAACUCCCUUGCCAUGGGCAGGGAGGCCUUCUGUCAGGUUUUUCGGGGCCCCUUCCAACCUGGCCUUCAACACUUCCAGGGGUUGGGCAUCCACAACUUCCCUGGGCAUCUGCUCAGCCUGUGCCCUACAGGUGUCCCUAUAAGUGGAUGGGGCUGAUCAAAACCUGCAAAACCAGGCUGCCACCCUGCUGAUGUUACAGCAGGCUGUGAGGGUGAAAAAA